GGCGAGGUGGCUCAGUCGGUUAGAGCGGCGGAUUCAUAAUCCGUAGGUCGGGGGUUCAAGUCCCCCCCUCGCUACCA
rnacentral:tRNA from 1 species